rnacentral:rRNA from 1 species
UACGUAGGAGGCAAGCGUUGUCCGGAAUCAUUGGGCGUAAAGAGCGUGUAGGCGGCCCGAUAAGUCCGCUGUGAAAGUCCAGGGCUCAACCCUGGGAUGCCGGUGGAUACUGUCGGGCUCGAGUCCGGAAGAGGCGAGUGGAAUUCCUGGUGUAGCGGUGAAAUGCGCAGAUAUCAGGAGGAACACCAAUGGCGAAGGCAGCUCGCUGGGACGUGACUGACGCUGAGACGCGAAAGCGUGGGGAGCAAACAGG